GACGAACGCUGGCGGCGUGCUUAACACAUGCAAGUCGAACGGAAAGGCCCUGCUUUUGUGGGGUGCUCGAGUGGCGAACGGGUGAGUAACACGCGAGUAACCUGCCCUUGACUUUGGGAUAACUUUAGGAAACUGGGGAUAAUACCGGAUAGGAGCUCCUGCUGCACGGUGGGGGUUGGAAAGUUUCGGCGGUUGGGGCUGGACUCGCGGCUUAUCAGCUUGUUGGUGGGGUAGUGGCUUACCAAGGCUGUGACGGGUAGCCGGCCUGAGAGGGUGACCGGCCACAUUGGGACUGAGAUACGGCCCAGACUCCUACGGGAGGCAGCAGUGGGGAAUAUUACACAAUGGGCGGAAGCCUGAUGCAGCGACGCCGCGUGCGGGAUGACGGCCUUCGGGUUGUAAACCGCUUUCGCCUGUGACGAAGCGUGAGUGACGGUAAUGGGUAAAGAAGCAACGGCUAACUACGUG
rnacentral:rRNA from 1 species